CAUUCCGCCUGGGAGUACCGUCGCAAGGCUGAAACUCAAAGGAAUUGACGGGGGCCCGCACAAGCGGUGGAGUAUGUGGUUUAAUUCGACGCAACGCGAAGAACCUUACCCAGGCUUGAACUGCAGGUGACAUCCUACGAAAGUAGGCUUCCGCAAGGACACCUGUAGAGGUGCUGCAUGGCUGUCGUCAGCUCGUGUCGUGAGAUGUUGGGUUAAGUCCCGCAACGAGCGCAACCCUUGUCUUCUGUUGCCAUCAGGUUAUGCUGGGCACUCUGAAGAGACUGCCGGUGACAAACCGGAGGAAGGUGGGGAUGACGUCAAGUCAGCAUGGCCUUUAUGUCUGGGGCCACACACGUGCUACAAUGGCAGAUACAAACCGUCGCGAGACCGCAAGGUGGAGCUAAUCGGAUAAAAUCUGUCUCAGUUCGGAUUGUCGGCUGCAACUCGCCGGCAUGAAGUUGGAAUCGCUAGUAAUCGCGGAUCAGCACGCCGCGGUGAAUACGUUCCCGGGCCUUGUACACACCGCCCGUCACAUCACGAAAGCUGGCUGUACUAGAAGUGGCUGCGCCAACCCGCAAGGGAGGCAGGUCCCUAAGGUAUGGUUAGUGAUUGGGGUGAAGUCGUAACAAGGUAGCCGUAG
rnacentral:rRNA from 1 species